rnacentral:rRNA from 1 species
UGGGGAAUAUUGCACAAUGGGCGAAAGCCUGAUGCAGCGACGCCGCGUGCGGGAUGAAGGCCUUCGGGUUGUAAACCGCUUUUAAUUGGGAGCAAGCGAGAGUGAGUGUACCUUUUGAAUAAGCACCGGCUAACUACGUGCCAGCAGCCGCGGUAAUACGUAGGGUGCAAGCGUUAUCCGGAAUUAUUGGGCGUAAAGAGCUCGUAGGCGGUUUGUCACGCCUGGUGUGAAAGUCCAUCGCUUAACGGUGGAUCUGCGCCGGGUACGGGCAGGCUAGAGUGCAGUAGGGGAGAUUGGAAUUCCCGGUGUAACGGUGGAAUGUGUAGAUAUCGGGAAGAACACCAAUGGCGAAGGCAGAUCUCUGGGCUGUUACUGACGCUGAGGAGCGAAAGCAUGGGGAGCGAACAGGAUUAGAUACCCUGGUAGUCCAUGCCGUAAAACGGUGGAUGCUGGAUGUGGGACCCUUCCACGGGUUCCGUGUCGGAGCUAACGCGUUAAGCAUCCCGCCUGGGGGAGUACGGCCGCAAGGCUAAAACUCU